CGGACGGGUGAGUAAUGUCUGGGAAACUGCCUGAUGGGGGGAGUAACUACUGGAAACGGUAGCUAAUACCGCAUAACGUCGCAAGACCAAAGAGGGGGACCUUCGGGCCUCUUGCCAUCGGAUGUGCCCAGAUGGGAUUAGCUAGUAGGUGGGGUAACGGCUCACCUAGGCGACGAUCCCUAGCUGGUCUGAGAGGAUGACCAGCCACACUGGAACUGAGACACGGUCCAG
rnacentral:rRNA from 1 species